UCUCGCUGCCCUCCUUGGGCGUUUCCUCCCUAGACUUCGGGCCGAUCCGCGAGGACGGCCUUUUUUUUGCCCUGC
rnacentral:sRNA from 1 species